UUGCCAAUCUUCCAAAAAAUAGCUAUAAUUUUGGUUCAUUCACACCAGACAGCCAUUGUUCUGUUGGCUGUUUUCAUUUUUUCAUUUGACAGUCUAAGGGAAAAGAGGUCAGUGCCUCUGACUAAAUAGGUAUUACACGUUUUAAAAAUCCUGUGGCACACCAGUUGAAAAUCGCUGUCCUAGUGCAUCGUGCCAAAGCACCCAAGAAUGCCCCUGAGGAAGCCCGAGAGGAAGGCAGGAGUGCAGAGGGCAGUGAGACGGCCAUCAGGACAUGCUGGUGACUGGGGAGUGAGUAAAUGAGUGAAUGCCAUUCCUGGAUUUACACCAUGAUCAGGAUUUUCUCCAAGAAAGUCUAACAUCAUUUUAGAGAGAAUGAAAAUAGGAAGUUUCUUUUUAGUUCAAUGUCUAAAAUUUAUUUUUAUUUACGGCAGUGAGCUUUUUUUAGGAAAGUUGGGAAGGCUUAUUUAAGCUGGAGCAAAGUUAAGAUUCUAACCCAGCAAAGAUCACUUUUGAUUGUUUUGUACCAUUUGAAAAUGUUUAUAUUACCAGAAUCACAGAAUUGCAGGACUGGGAGGUCCUUAGUUCCGUUUCUAGGAAGUUAUUGUACGGAUGCACAAGGACACGGACAUACGGAUUAAACGUGGACAGAUAUCCACCUCAGCAUUGCUGGUAACAACAAUGACAAUUUCUAAAGCCACGAAAUCCAAAAUGUCCAUCUGCAGUGGUUAAGGGAUUAUAGUACAUCUAUUUAUGCAACUGGUAAAAAGAAUUAGGGACAGGUGUGUAGGAUAUAUCAUUAGGUAAAUAAGGCAAGCUGCAGAAUGUGUGUGUGUGUAUAUUAUAUAUGAUAAAUGUAUAUGAUAUAUACAUAAUGAUCUUGUGUAAAAGUCACAAAUGUUUUAAAUAUUCUUAUAAAUGCUCGGCAAAGUUCUGAGAAAACACCCAAGAACCUGAGGCCUACUAAGUUCUCACUUUUACCCUUUGAACAGUUUGACUGUCUUUCAAUAAGCACACGUUCUUGAUCACUUAAAAAAAGUCACCUCAUCUUAUACACUGACUACUGAAGUAUCCCCACCAAGUGGUUACCCUGGCUUUCCUAGAACACUUCCAGUGACGGAGAACUCAUUACCUCUUAACUAUCAGACAGUGUUUUGACCAGUACCCCUCCCGCUGAAGAUGGUAAUUCUUUUCUAUUUAGAUAUGGCCUAGGAACCCAGGGGCCAGAUCCAUCGGUCUUGUCUUGAGGGCCCUGGAGAAGGCAGGCACACAAUUUUGAUGGAUAAUUCUUGGUAAUUUUUCAGUUUAAAAAAAUUUUGAUUAUAUAAACAGAAACUAGUUGGAGUACAUAUGUCUUCUGGGAAAAGUCUUCAAGAUACUAGAAGAAGAAAAUAAAAGACUUUCCAGGAUGCCAUUUUAAGGAGGAUAUGAAGAGUGUGGAUAACAAAAGGGCCUUGUUUUCCAGGAACCCGAUAUGUAGAUGGGGGUGGGGGUGCCAUGCACACUUGAGCGUGCAUGAAUGAAAGCACUGUUAAACACCAGGGGAAGGAAAAACCGGUGAAUGCCAACUGGAGUGCAAUGAUGUUGACUGGAUCCACAGGGACGCUGGUUGGAGAUAAUGGACUCAGCCUGGGUUUUGAGAAAUGGAGAGAGGGAUGAUGCCCGAAGGAAGACUCGUGCCCACACAAUGUGUCCCCGGGGCCUUCUUGCUGGGCCCCAGCAGCAGUCCUGCGGACUCACCGUGGCAAGUCAGCACGCCUGGGCCGGUGCACCCAAGAAUGUGAUAAAUAUUCAAGCACACCUCUGGCAUCCCACCCUCCCCACUAGGAGACUGGAGCCAAGAACCAAGCAUACCUUCUUCCUCUAUUCCUGCAAAAUAAAGUUUGUG